UGGGGAAUUUUGGACAAUGGGGGAAACCCUGAUCCAGCCAUCCCGCGUGUGCGAUGAAGGCCUUCGGGUUGUAAAGCACUUUUGGUAGGAAAGAAACGUCGCGGGUUAAUACCCCGCGAAACUGACGGUACCUGCAGAAUAAGCACCGGCUAACUACGUGCCAGCAGCCGCGGUAAUACGUAGGGUGCAAGCGUUAAUCGGAAUUACUGGGCGUAAAGCGUGCGCAGGCGGUUCGGAAAGAAAGAUGUGAAAUCCCAGAGCUUAACUUUGGAACUGCAUUUUUAACUACCGGGCUAGAGUGUGUCAGAGGGAGGUGGAAUUCCGCGUGUAGCAGUGAAAUGCGUAGAUAUGCGGAGGAACACCGAUGGCGAAGGCAGCCUCCUGGGAUAACACUGACGCUCAUGCACGAAAGCGUGGGGAGCAAACAGGAUUAGAUACCCUGGUAGUCCACGCCCUAAACGAUGUCAACUAGCUGUUGGGGCCUUCGGGCCUUGGUAGCGCAGCUAACGCGUGAAGUUGACCGCCUGGGGAGUACGGUCGCAAGAUU
rnacentral:rRNA from 1 species